GAUGAACGCUGGCGGCGUGCCUAAUACAUGCAAGUCGAGCGAACAGACGAGGAGCUUGCUCCUCUGACGUUAGCGGCGGACGGGUGAGUAACACGUGGAUAACCUACCUAUAAGACUGGGAUAACUUCGGGAAACCGGAGCUAAUACCGGAUAAUAUAUUGAACCGCAUGGUUCAAUAGUGAAAGACGGUUUUGCUGUCACUUAUAGAUGGAUCCGCGCCGCAUUAGCUAGUUGGUAAGGUAACGGCUUACCAAGGCAACGAUGUGUAGCCGACCUGAGAGGGUGAUCGGCCACACUGGAACUGAGACACGGUCCAGACUCCUACGGGAGGCAGCAGUAGGGAAUCUUCCGCAAUGGGCGAAAGCCUGACGGAGCAACGCCGCGUGAGUGAUGAAGGUCUUCGGAUCGUAAAACUCUGUUAUUAGGGAAGAACAAAUGUGUAAGUAACUAUGUACGUCUUGACGGUACCUAAUCAGAAAGCCACGGCUAACUACGUG
rnacentral:rRNA from 1 species